GAUUACAAGGUAUUAUGAGACAGUUAUUGUAUUUAAGAUAUCUACAUACAAAGUUACCAUCGCCUUGCCAUUAUGGGAGCAUAUUUGUUUUGCCAUUCUUUUUUGUAAGUACAUUUGUAGUCAUCUGUUCUAUUUUACAAGAAAUGUGUAAUUAAGGCAACUAGGAAUAUGUAAUAGAAAUUUUUUUUAACACAUGUAUAUAUAUUUUAUGUUUAUUUAAGACAGUUAUAACAUAAGACAUUUUACAUUUGAGCAGUACCAUGAGAAAACCAUAGUGUCUUUGUGACCAUCAUGGGUCCAGACCAGCCUGCGCAUCCGUGGAUCUAUGCUGUUUGCUUUCAAAACCUAUUGCAGUGAGAGAAAUCUUUAGCAAACAGCAUGGAUCCUGACAUGAUCAGACUGCACGGACGUGCAGGCUGGUCUGGAUCCAUGCUGGUCGCAAACACACUCUGAUGUUUUCAUAGUGCGGCUGAUAUUUUUUUUACACACAGUUGUUAUUAUUGGCAUGGUUCUUAAUUAAUGCGUUAAUACUUAUGAUUUUUGUUCUUUGAACCACUCGAAUCUGCUUAUUAAAAUGAAGAAUAUAAAAAAUCCAUACUCUCUGAGUUCAUCCUCACCUACAAUUUUCAGGCCUAAAUUAUAUUUAUCAUUAAUCAGUAUUUAUUUACACCCAAUGGUUGUGAAGUUGCAUAAUUGUUUUAAUUCUUAUAUACUGUUGUUUGUUUAUAUUUGUUGUAGUUGUUGUAAUGAUUUUGAGCAAUUAAAUACUGAAAACAAGA